rnacentral:pre_miRNA from 1 species
AUGCCAGAAAUUCUGAUGCCAUAUUCGUUAAGGUUGUAACCAGACACUUUGGUCACAACCUUUGACGAAUGAGGAGUCAUUUUUGGUAAAUCAU